rnacentral:lncRNA from 1 species
AAAAGACAGGUAUUUUUUUAUUUCCCAAAACAAAACUUUAACGUCUUUAUUCAUGGUACACUGGAAGGUUAUCAGUACUGGCGCAUGUACACACAAAGCACAAUAAAUAGAAUUCCUAAGAAAAAGUACUAAGAUAAUCAAAAGCCGAAAAUAACCCAUAUUUUUCCCUGUGACCCAUUAGCUUUAUAUAGAAAACAUUGCUGGACAUUUCAUCCUUUCCCUUCCAAAGAACAGGAUUAUGCUUUAUAUAUGAUAAAAGAUAGCAAAGUAUUUAUGGCCAGUAUGAAAAAAAUCCUGUAGUGGUAUCUGCAGUGCUAGAGGUAUCAUCUGAGAAAAAGAAUAUCGCUUUUAAGACUACAAGGGAGUGAUACCUCUGCAGUGCUAGAGGUAUCAUCUGAGAAAAAGAAUAUCACUUUUAAGACUACAAGGGAGUGAAAAAAAUGUGACCUUUGUCCACACUGAGUGGUACAUACCUGUCUAUUCUCUUUUGUAGCGUCUUAACAUUUAAUUUGGAAAAAUUUCAUAAUAAUUUUUUAUUCUGCAUCAAAUAAUAUAUAAAAAUAAAUGAGUUAGAAUAUUGGCUAUAGUUCACAAGGGCAAUCCUAAGGCUACUUUCUCACAUUCAAGAAGAAGGCUAAGUUAGAAGUCUAUUAGAAACCUGAAAUGGAUAAGCCAUUCUUUUUGAUACAAGGAGACAAAAGUCAUCAAAUGAAAAGAAUAUAUGUAGAAGUACUGGUAGCAUCUUCAUUGAGCUCCUAGCCAUGUAAUUUGUGUGCAGCACUACUUGUCUCAAAUGUGAACAGGAACAUUCUGAAUUACUAGAAGUAUACACAAUGGACACCAAUUAAGAACUAAAAAGAGCUACAAGCCUGCAUACCACAAAGAGAGGGGUCAAAAAAAAAAUGUCUAAUGUUUCAUUUCUGUUACAUAAAGGGAUCUGAGCUUGACUAACCUCAACUGAUCCCAAAGGAUACAGACGAUCAACUUCUAGAACACACUGAACUGUUAAGAGUCAUCACAGUAGCCUCCACAUUGGCCAAGCCAAGAGUUUCAUUUGAAGGAAGACUUCACCCUGCUUGUCUAAGUGUUAAGGGCUCACACAUGACCUCCUUGCUUUUAAAUGCAGCAUAGAUGCUAACUUUUAAUUAAUAAAGUCUUACUAGAGCAAUCUCUUCUACGAUCCACAUAUGACAUCUUGUAUGAGAUUCUGGAGGAUUCCUAAAAUUGAACUUCGUGAAUAAUGGUAUCUAAUAAGGUUCCAAGUUUCUAAAACCUCUUUUCCUUUCCGAUCAACCUUAUUCACUUGCCAUUUAUCACAGUAACAGGAGAUGUCAAAAGUAACCAACUUGUUUCCCUAGGCAAGUCACUACAUCAGCCAUAAUGUCACUUUAUACAGCAGUAUUAAUCUACUUUUUCGAGAAUGUUCCCAUUUAAAAAACACAAUCCCCUGAAACAAAGCAAUUAUCACUUUUAUUUAAUAGAAGGAACAGAGACAAGGCUUAGAAAGCUAAAUGGCCUAUUCAUUCAUGCCCAACUAGGAAGCUAGAAAGUAUGAACCCACAAUCGUCUGACACUAGAGUUAGUACUUCUUUUUGAAACCAAUGAUUCUUGAUGGCUUUUGUUCACAGAACCUUUUGAGACUCUGAGGCAAUUAAAAUUUUAUAUGUAAUUUUAGGGCAUUCACAGUCGCAAGGCUUAAAAUCAAACAGUAAUAACUGUCAGUAAAUCUCAUAUGCAAACAGUAGCAUUCAUUAAAAAAAAGUAUACUGGACUUAUUUAAUUUUUAGAUAGACUUUAUACUUAAUAAUCUUCUUUUUGAUUUAAUAUCCAUAACAGCAUUUACUCAUUGAAGAUAACUUAGAGCAAAGCAUUAUAAGCAACAUUUCUGAGAUUAAAUGAAAAUGAAAAGUUGGCAAAGAAAUCCAUCAUAUAUUUUAUUAAUAAGUCAUCUUACUUAAAAACUAUUUAUAUAGUAUCUUUAAGUAUUUCAAACAUUUCAUGUUUUGGACAUAGAAUAUAUGCUUGUAUAUUAAUACGACUUCCAAUUUUACUUUAUUUUAUUAGAAGAAAAAACCCCUACACUAACUGCUAUAGUCCAAAAAGGUCCAUUGAUCGUUAUCUUGCUGAAAGUUCCCUUCUACUAAUAUCACAGAAAACACGUAACUCCAAAAGGUGAGUAGGUAUUCUCAAAGCAAAAUAACACUCCUGCCAAAAAGUAGGACACGAACACGUGCCAUUUUGCACAAUCCUGAGGCUCAAACUGCAGCCCUGGCUCUGCCAUCUGGUGACUUUAAGGAAACCAUUUUUGAGUUCCUGCUUUGGCACAGCAGGUUAAGGACCCAUCUCAGCUGUGGCUCACAUUCGAUCUCUGGCCCAGGAACUUGUAUAUGCCAUGGGUACUGGCAGGAAAAAGGGGGGGAGGUGGGGGGGGGAGAAAAGAAAGAAAGCAGGAAGAAAGAAAGAGGGAGGGGAGAGAGAGAGAGAAGGAAGGAAAGGACAAAAACCAUUUUAAAGCUCUGCACUUCAGAUUUCCUCAGGUGUAAAAUGACUGGAGUAACUGACCUCAAGGAUAGUCCUACUCAGGCUUAAAAAAAUCUAUAAAUUUAUGACCAGAAGAUAGAAUGACACUUACCCCCAGAAAAACCCCAGAGUAUUUACAGGCAACUGCUAAACUAAGUUUAUAUAUAUAUAUAUAUAUGAACACUAAAACACUAUGUGCCAGAUACUGAGUGGUGGACUGCGACCAGGAUAUUAGGAUAUGAAGUGUCUAACAUUGACAGUGUUUUUAGGAAGGAGUAAAACAAUUUUCUUUAGAAGAGAUGAGAAUGGGAGGUCUUGGAAGGGCACCAGGAGAAUGGGGCUCCAUUAUAUGACAGGGUUUUCCCAAAAAAAAAAGAAAAAACCCUGCUACGGGGAUACUCACCAGACUAUAUGCUUCCAAAGACAGAGUCAUGAGUCUUGUCUUUAUAGCCCCUACACCUAGCUCAGCCUUGAUAUUUAUAGCAGAUAUCCAAUAAAUGUUAGCUGGCCACUUACUAAUAACUAACUCACUCAUACUCUGGUAAUGCACUAGCUGGUAUAUACAGGAGUCCCUGCCUUUAAAGAGUGAGUUCAAAACCAAUGAGCAAGAAAACAAUGUAAAGGAUAAUAUAAUAUGUCCACUGUAUAGAAAGUGCUUUGAGACCAUUCAGAAAAACUGGGUAGGAAGACUUCAAAGGAUAAUACUUAUUGAGUGCCUAUGUGUUAAGCAUUUUACAUUCUUCAAUCCUAAAAACUCUUGAGUUAGUCUCACUAUUCCAUUUUACAGAUGACAAAACUUGCAGCUCAAGAGUAAGAUACUUGUCAAGGGUCAGACAACUAGGGUAAGCCAGAAUUUAAAGCAGGAUCUAAUUACAAAACUAUUUCCACAAUACAUACCAUAAUGUCUUUGAUUUUUAUACUUUACUUUUACAUUUGCAGUGGGGAGAAAACAGGGACUGUCAAAAUCAGCCAAAACUUUGUUGCCCUGAAUCACCAAAUAAAGAGUAUCUAAGACUUAUCCAAGUAUUUUACUUGAAAAAAAUCACUUCUGAAAAAUUAUCUUCACUCAUAAAAAUCUGAAAACUAAUUUUUUAACAGCUGCAUAUGUACUUAAUGUAAUGUUUCUACAUUUUAAUCUAUACAAGUACAGGUCUAAACAAAAGGACAAAACAUGACUGGAGAUCAUAACUAGCCAUCAUUUAAGAAAACAGACCCCUGUAAAUAUUAUUUCAUGUACUUGUGUUGAAAAAGUUAGGUAUGAUCUGUAGUUUUAGAUUAUUCCACUGACUGCAUGUUGAGAGAAAAAGAAAAUUAUUCCAAAAUUGUUUUAAAGGGAGAGAAGAUUCUUUUUGGAGGGAAGAGAGGAGGAGCUAUUUAGAAAUGAUCUGUAAUUUAAGAAAUAAAAUUGAUUAUAUGUUACAUGUCAAAGACAAUAUAGGUACCCAAUAAAUCCUGUUAAAUGGACCUGCCAAGUGGAAUGAGAAUGUGUCUUCUUUUUUCCCUUUUGACUAAUAAGAACCCUUAUUUUAAGAAGUUAUUUUUCAAACCAUGAAAAAAGUGUAAAUCUGAGAGAGAUGAAAUAAAGGCAAUUCCAAAACCUGUAAAAAGGAAUCAAAACAUUGUAAUUUGUAUCGCCGCGUAAACUUCUCAGUAACCCAGCAAUGCCAGAGGAUGGUGAACAUGCUAUUCACCACACCAAAGUUAAAAAUAUUGACACAAUAAGAUUUCCACAGUUUACAUUCUAAUUUUGUAAACAGAAAUCAUCAUUUCCUGAAGCUACUUCUUGUUUCUGUUUUGUCGUGAUUAGUUUCUUUAAAGGUCCUCUGGUCAUUCCUGGGCUUAUCAUCACCAUCAUUAAUAUUGUAUUCACUCCGCUAAAAAUGUGAAAAGUACCUCAGAAUUUACCAGCUGCAUCUAAUUCCAAAAUUAUUACACUUCUUUUUAUCUUCCUAAAUUCUAAACUUUUUAAAAUGGUUUACAAAAUAAUCUCUUAAAUAAGGGUACUGACUGGUCAGAGGUGUAAUAUAAACACUUAUCCUACUUAUCCAAUUCAUUUGACAAGAUUUAUUGGGUAUCUCAAGUUUCUUUCACAUUUUUAACAGCACCCUAGACACUUAGUAAAUAUAAUACCAAACAGCCUGUGUAAUGUUUCUAUUUUAACAUAUCCAGAGGACGUUUUAGAAAAUUCGGAAAUUAAAUUAUCCUUCGAGGAUUCUAAGAUUAAUCAAGCAGCGUCCAUAUUAUUUUUUUCAUUUUAAUGCACUAAAGCAUUUGCCGCAUUAAAUUCUGAUUUUACCAACAAACACCUCUACACUAUAACGAGCCCUUUUCAUGUUCUCAAUUGGGAGAAGAGGGGGAAAAAAGGCCAACUGUUUACAGGCUGCAUUUAACAGUCCCCAGCAAACACCGUAGUUCACGUUUAAUUUCAAAAUCGCGAUAAGUAAUCUGUGAACACGACCCUUGGGCUUGAUUUAUCAUUUCAUCCGCCCUCCGUCCCCACCAGUCCACCCCCAAAAGCUCAACCCACCCAAGCACACGUCUGAAUAUUUCUUCAUCAUGAAGACCAAAACCUCAAGAACACCAAGAAAGAGCUUCCCUCAGAAGAAAAACGCCAGCGCUUCGCAGCCUGGGGCCCAGACCCGCUCGGCGAGUCCCGCUCCAAGGAAGGCCACCUCUCGACGCCCUGCACGCCCCGCCCCGGGCCCGCUCGCGUCCCCUCAGGCGACAAAACCCUCCCUCCGGCGCCCCGCCAGGACUGACAGUUAGGACAGCAGCAGCCGCUGCUAGCAGAGGCCUACUUCUGGCAUGGACCCUCCAGACCAUGGGACCCCAAACACUAGCCCCGGCGGGGGUAAGGGGCGUCCAUACCCUCGCCAAAGCCGUCCCGGAGAGAGCUUGGGAGGCAAAGGGGACAACGGGAGGUGCCGCCUAGCCUUUCCCAUCCCAGGCCCCGUCUUUCCCCGUCCAGGCCCCGUCCUCAGCCACACUGACCUGUAGUCGCCCCCGCGCCUGGGCUGCGGCCCUCGCAGCAGCAGCCGCCUCACUGGUCGUCGUCGCCCUCGCCCGCCGCCUCCGCCCGCCACCGCCUCGUUCCCUUUCGCUGCCGCCACCGCCGGCGCUCAUGCGGGACCCGCGCUUCCUUCUCCGGAGACCAAGGCCGGGAAAAGGGGCGCAGGGGCCGCAGAAAACCCCGCGCUCGUCGCCAGCCGCUGCUCCGCCGCUGCCUGUCCGCACACGGGGUGCUACGGGACCCCGCCUGGUCGGGGCUAGGUGCGAGUUGCUACGAGCACGGCACCGAGGAUGAGCCGAGGGACGCGCCGCCGCCCGCGGCAGUGAGUGCCGGGUCGGGAGGGGUGAAGCGCAAGUCGGCUGCGGCGGCUGGGGGCGAGGGCCGGAACCGGCAGAAGGCUAGGCGGAGGCGGGGUGCGCGAGCGAGAGGAGGGCUGUAUGUUGAGGUUCUGGCGCAGGGGAUUCAGGCUGUCUUCUCCUGCAGUCACCCCGAGCCGAGCGCCACCAUCUUGGGAAAACGCGGAUCUCGCGGUCGCGGCGCAAGCCGGGAGGACAGGCUGGGCGGGCCGAGUAUCCCGGCAGACACCGCGCGCCGCC